GGACACAAUAACAGUAACCUCACCAACAAUCAGAGACAAUAAUUACAACAGAGGGAGAAGCGAUAGAUCCAACGGGUGUAGGAAGCUUUAAGGACAUAGAAAAAGGCACUCACCACCACCACGCCCAUAUAUUUAUUGUUGUGUGGAGAGAGGGUUAUGACGAGAAACCGGCGUAUGUCAAAAAUCCCAACGCUGCAAAAACGAACGAAGGAUACGGCGGGGGUGAAGAAUUAGGCGUUGUUAAAAUUAGGGAUCGAGAGCACGAAUUUAGGGAUUGAAAAACAUGUUUUGUUUUUUACUAAGAAGAAUUAGGACUUAAGGUUUUAAGUUUUCAUGUUACAGUUCUGAGUCCAAAGGAAGCAUUUUAGUCGUGAUCAACACCAUAUCUUAUAAGUAAAUGCAAGUGAACCUUUUUUUUAU
rnacentral:lncRNA from 1 species